rnacentral:tRNA from 1 species
AAUCGGGAGACCAAGUGAGGGGAACUCUGAAACAGAAGUAAGAGCGAAACCUUCCACUCCCAGGUCGGUCGUGGGAGAAAAAAGGCUUUUCCACCUAGGUUUGGGGAACCUGGGCUAUUAGCUCAGCUGGUUAGAGCGCACCCCUGAUAAGGGUGAGGUCCCUGGUUCAAGUCCAGGAUAGCCCAUCUCGGGGGUAUAGCUCAGCUGGUAGAGCACCUGCCUUGCACGCAGGGAGUCAGCGGUUCGAGUCCGCUUACCUCCAUCUCCGAAAACGGAGACUAGUCGAGAUCCCGAGUGCCACCUCAGCACCGUUAGAAAGCUAACGACUGCUGGAGUUCGCUCCAGACCAGAACCUUGAAAACUGCAUAGUCACAAAACAAUCAUUACAAACCGAGGUC